rnacentral:rRNA from 1 species
UGCGUAACGCGUAUGCAAUCUACCUUGUACAGAGAGAUAGCCCAGAGAAAUUUGGAUUAAUACCUCAUAGUAUUGAAUGGCAUCAUUUAAUGAUUAAGGUUUCGGCGGUACAAGAUGAGCAUGCGUCCUAUUAGUUAGAUGGUGAGGUAACGGCUCACCAUGACUACGAUAGGUAGGGGUUCUGAGAGGAUGAUCCCCCACACUGGUACUGAGACACGGACCAGACUCCUACGGGAGGCAGCAGUGAGGAAUAUUGGUCAAUGGACGCAAGUCUGAACCAGCCAUGCCGCGUGCAGGAAGACGGUCCUCUGGAUUGUAAGCUGCUUUUAUUUGGGAAGAAACCCCCGGUCGUGCAUCGGGGCUGACAGUACCAAAGGAAUAAGCACCGGCUAACUCCGUGCCAGCAGCCG